CUUCAGUGCCCUGUUUAACUUGUCCUGGUGCUGACUGAGCUCAAAUACAGACAGUUUGAAGCUAGUAGAAGUGAAGUCUGAACCCAGAGUGGAAGAAAUUUGUCCCUAUCAUGGGCAUCUCCACCUACCUCCACCUAUUGAUUCGGACUGAUUUCCCCCCACUCUGAUAGCAGAACAUCCAGGCCUCUCAGAGCUUCUCCUACAGACUGUUCCAUGCUAGGAUGCUACACGAGAGAACUCCUUGUUCGGGUGGUGAAGAAAAACCCUGGAUGAUAACAAGUGAAAGUUUGACUUCUGAGGGCCAAAGACUAGAUAAGAUCACUUGCUAUAGUUAGUUGAGACCAGACU
rnacentral:lncRNA from 1 species